rnacentral:rRNA from 1 species
UACGGAAGGCAGCAGUGGGGAAUAUUGCACAAUGGGCGCAAGCCUGAUGCAGCCAUGCCGCGUGUAUGAAGAAGGCCUUCGGGUUGUAAAGUACUUUCAGUCGUGAGGAAGGUGUUAAGGUUAAUAACCUUAGCAAUUGACGUUAGCGACAGAAGAAGCACCGGCUAACUCCGUGCCAGCAGCCGCGGUAAUACGGAGGGUGCGAGCGUUAAUCGGAAUUACUGGGUGUAAAGGGCACGCAGGCGGUUAAUUAAGUUGGAUGUGAAAUCCCCGGGCUUAACCUGGGAAUGGCAUUCAAGACUGGUUAGCUAGAGUCUUGUAGAGGGGGUAGAAUUCCAUGUGUAGCGGUGAAAUGCGUAGAGAUGUGGAGGAAUACCGGUGGCGAAGGCGGCCCCUGGACAAAGACUGACGCUCAUGUGCGAAAGCGUGGGGAGCAAACGAGGGAUUAGAUACC